rnacentral:ncRNA from 1 species
CACAGGUUUGGUCCCAGCCUUCUUAUUAGCUGUUAGCAGACCUAUACAUGCAAGUAACCGCACCCCCGUGAAAAUGCCCUCCAGGCCACACUGACCAAAAGGAGCAGGUAUCAAGCCCACUCCCCACAAAAGUAGCUCAUAACACCUUGCUAAGCCACACCCCCACGGGUAACAGCAGUAAUAAACAUUAGGCAAUGAACGAAAGUUCGACCUAGCUAUGCUAACUAACUAAGGGUUGGUAAAUUUCGUGCCAGCCACCGCGGUCAUACGAUUAACCCAAGUUAAUAAUAAACGGCGUAAAGAGUGUUUUAGAGUUAAUAGAACACUAAAGUUAAGUCUUAGCUAAGCUGUAAAAAGCCCCAGCCAAAGCAAAAAUAAAUAACGAAAGUAACUUUAUAUAUCUGAACACACGACAGUUAAGACCCAAACUGGGAUUAGAUACCCCACUAUGCUUAACCGUAAACUCAAGUAGCAUCUCAACAAUACUACUCGCCAGAGUACUACAAGCAAUAGCUCGAAACUCAAAGGACUUGGCGGUGCUUUACACCCCUCUAGAGGAGCCUGUUCUAUAAUCGAUAAACCCCGAUAAACCUCACCACCUCUUGCUAAUUCAACCUAUAUACCGCCAUCCUCAGCAAACCCUGUUAAGGACCCAUAGUAAGCGAGAGAAUCACACAUUAAAACGUUAGGUCAAGGUGUAGUCUAUGAGGUGGGAAGAAAUGGGCUACAUUUUCUAUAUUUACAGAACAACCAACGCCUCCCCUUAUGAAAAAAGUGGUUAAGGCGGAUUUAGAAGUAAAUUGAGAAUAGAGAGCUUGAUUGAAUAGGGCAAUGAAGCACGCACACACCGCCCGUCACCCUCCUCAAAUUAAUUCUAAUUACUAAAGUAUCUAUAAUCUAUACACACUAAAUUAUCAGAGGAGAUAAGUCGUAACAAGGUAAGCAUACUGGAAAGUGUGCUUGGAAUUAC